AUGAGAGAGUGGGCAGGAACGGUUAAGGUAGGAGAGGUUGGGGCAGGGCUGGUUAAGGUAGGGGAGGUUGGGGCAGGAACGGUUAAGGCAGGGGAGGUUGGGGCAGGGCUGGUUAAGGUAGGAGAGGGUGGGGCAGGGCUGGUUAAGGUAGGAGAGGUUGGGGCAGGGCUGGUUAAGGUAGGAGAGGUUGGGGCAGGGCUGGUUAAGGUAGGAGAGGUUGGGGCAGGGCUGGUUAAGGUAGGGGAGGUUGGGGCAGGGCUGGUUAAGGUAGGAGAGGUUGGGGCAGGGCUGGUUAAGGUAGGAGAGGUUGAGGCAGGGCUGGUUUGUGAUGGCUGGGGGGAAUGGGUUGUGAUUACCGGUAAUGGGAACGGGGAAAAUAAGAAAUCAAAGUGUGGUGCAGUAGGUGAUAUUAAUGUGAGGGGACUGGACAUGGAGGCUGAUGGUGUUCCCAGAGGAAGGGUGGCUGAGGCACAAAUCCUGUGUGUCCAGGAUUUGUUGGAGCAGAUUGACUUGGGAGCCCUGUGGUGUCCAGCCAGACGUGAUGGGUUGGAGAGCAGAGCCAGAGUGGAUGGAGUGAGAUGGUGCAGGACAGGAGGUGAUGGGUUGGAGAGCAGAGCCAGAGUGGAUGGAGUGAGAUGGUGCAGGACAGGAGGUGAUGGGUUGGGGUGGCACUGUUGGUGCUGGCCAAGGUGUUGA
rnacentral:lncRNA from 13 species